GAGUUUGAUCCUGGCUCAGGACGAACGCUGGCGGCGUGCCUAAUACAUGCAAGUCGAGCGGAUUGAUGGGAGCUUGCUCCCUGAUAUCAGCGGCGGACGGGUGAGUAACACGUGGGUAACCUGCCUGUAAGACUGGGAUAACUCCGGGAAACCGGGGCUAAUACCGGAUAACUCAUUUCCUCGCAUGAGGAAAUGUUGAAAGAUGGCUUCUUGCUAUCACUUACAGAUGGACCCGCGGCGCAUUAGCUAGUUGGUGAGGUAACGGCUCACCAAGGCAACGAUGCGUAGCCGACCUGAGAGGGUGAUCGGCCACACUGGGACUGAGACACGGCCCAGACUCCUACGGGAGGCAGCAGUAGGGAAUCUUCCGCAAUGGACGAAAGUCUGACGGAGCAACGCCGCGUGAGUGAUGAAGGUUUUCGGAUCGUAAAGCUCUGUUGUUAGGGAAGAACAAGUGCCGUUCGAAUAGGGCGGCACCUUGACGGUACCUAACCAGAAAGCCACGGCUAACUACGUGCCAGCA
rnacentral:rRNA from 2 species